UUGAAAUCUAAAGAGAAAAAUGAAGAGGGAAGACGCAAAUUAAGACUGUGAAAAUGAAAGAUUGACAAAAAACUCUGAAUUAAUGGCAAAAGACGACAGAGCCAAUUCGGGUUCGGGGUCGAGACCAAUGUCCUCAUGCGGUCGUCUUUGGUUAAUGGUGGAACUGCGUGUGGCCUGGUGAGACGACAAUAGUUUCGUGGAAAAGCCUUCUCACAGAGGCCACCUCAAGUAAGGCAAGUGGGUUUGGCCCAUCAGCUUCUUGCUCAUCUUCGGAAGCCUAGCAGUCGCCGGUGUCUUAGCUACUGCUUCUGACUCCUACAGUGGCUUCUUCGAAGCAGCCGCUGCAAGAGAAUGAAGCGAAGGAUCCCAAGUGGGACAAACUGUUUGAGCACCGUUAUUGAGAAAUCAAGCGAAUAUAUGUGAAUAUCUUGAUAUGUUUAAAGCAAAUUCAGCUGCUGAGGAAUCCAGAGUUGGCUCUGAGAAACUGUUCUCCAGACCAGUUAGAAUUUCUCUCUGAAGCACCUCUAUAUUUGGAGAUUGAGCAAUCCCUGGGUUUUCUUGACCAUUUAAUGUUGGGAACCCCUGCUUCUCCUGUGAGAAAAAUCCUGCUGGAGA